AUUGAACGCUGGCAGCAUGCCUUACACAUGCAAGUCGAACGGUAACAGGUCCUCGGAUGCUGACGAGUGGCGAACGGGUGAGUAAUACAUCGGAACGUGCCUAGUAGUGGGGGAUAACUACUCGAAAGAGUGGCUAAUACCGCAUGAGAUCUACGGAUGAAAGCAGGGGAUCGCAAGACCUUGUGCUACUAGAGCGGCCGAUGGCAGAUUAGGGAGUUGGUGGGAUAAAAGCUUACCAAGCCGACGAUCUGUAGCUGGUCUGAGAGGACGAUCAGCCACACUGGGACUGAGACACGGCCCAGACUCCUACGGGAGGCAGCAGUGGGGAAUUUUGGACAAUGGGCGCAAGCCUGAUCCAGCAAUGCCGCGUGCAGGAUGAAGGCCUUCGGGUUGUAAACUGCUUUUGUACGGAACGAAAAGCCCUGGGUUAAUACCCUGGGGUCAUGACGGUACCGUAAGAAUAAGCACCGGCUAACUACGUGCCAGCCGCCGCGGUAACAC
rnacentral:rRNA from 1 species